UUAGGCUCGGGUUUACCGUGAGCCUGCUUGGAACAAGCAGUUGUAGACGUGUGUGUGGGGGUUCUGUGUAGCAGGAAGUUGCUCACUAGCCAAUUUUGGGGGGUGGGACUGUGCUUCUGAGCCCCUCUGUACCCCAGGGGACCCCUUUGAAUUCUGUCUAAAUCUACUGUCUGUCAGGUAUGUGUGUGUAAAUGAAGCUAGAAUUGCCCUCUGUGGGGGUGUUGAGAGCAGGCCCCUUAUGCCCCCCACCCCUCCAGUGCUGUUCUGUCCAGAGUGGUGAAACAAGCUCCAAAUGGCACCGGAAAUCUCCAGCACUGCACCCGCACUACAGAACUGAGCCUUCCAACCACUGUCCCUGGUGUCUCCCAGCACUCCCAGCCCUUCUGGUGUCUGGACAGCUGUGCUCUGAAGUGACAGGAGGUAGAAUUUCACUGACCUCUUCCCCCCCACUCCCCUGUAUGCCAGCAGUCCAACAUCCUGUCCCAGAAUUUGUCCAGGUUCUUCCCUUUCUAUCUUCCCACCUUUGAGUCCUUAACAAGGGUGUGUGACUGAAUGAGCAGUGAUUGUAUGGCCAGUGUUACUGAGCAAACUGUGUGUAAUGUUUCCCGACACCCUGAAGGGUCACAGGAAGGUGGUGACCUGACCGGCGGUUCUUUUCUGCAGUGGUCACUGCCCCUCAGGAAGAGGGCUGGGUUGGGUUGUGAGCUGUCCUUAGGGAGGUGAAUCACUGGCCCGUGUUUAAUGCUGUUUCUAUGUGUCAAAUUAAGCAACUGCGCUUUUGUUUGUGGCUGCUUACUGGGGAAAGACCCCUCAGCUGCCGCCCUCUUGCUGGUGGUCCCAGCCCCUCCCACCUGCCUCUGAUUGGAUCAUGGCCUGUUUCUAAUUACGGUUACUGCUUCAUAGCCUCUCGUACGUCUCCCAAUGGAAGGACACCCUCAGAACCACAGGCAGGAAAAGUGUUCAACUGAGAGACAUAUGUGUGGAGACAGCAAGGGUUUGGGUCUCAACACACACCUCUCCCAUACUGCUGAGUGCUCAAGACACUGCAGAGGUGGGAGACAGAGCAAGCUGGACUGAUGUAGUACCCUUUAGUACACUACUGCGCCCCCUCAAAAAAAAGAAAAAAAAAAAAAUAAAACCCACCUAUGGUGGGGAAUGUAGGUCCAUGCUGUCUUUCUCUCUGGCCUCACUGUUGAUGGAUGUUGCUGUCUGCUUCAUUCAGUCUUUUCAAUCCCAGCUCUCUCAAUUUGUUGCACUGGCCAGAAGGAAGAUGGAUGGAUGUGCAGGAGGCCACACCCACUCAUGUGAAGAACAUGUCAAGUCUGGUACAAAUGUCUUACAUAUGACCAGGUGUUUAGUUUCCAGCGGCCUGUAUGUUCAUGUCUUGUGCCAAACUCAUUCCGUAGUAUGACAGUUUACAUUUUAAUAGUUUUACUCUCACUGACCUCUGCCCACAGCAGAGUGGGAAGUAGUUUUUUUUGGCAUUAUUUUAAAAGCUGUAUUAGAUUUUAUUUUAAAAAUCUUGUCAUUUUGUAAACUGGGCUCUCUGCUUUUAAUUUGUGUCUAAAGUGUUCCUGCGGCAUCUGCAGAAUCUCCUGUAUCUCAAGAUGACAUUUAGAACUGUACUGCAGAUCCUAGUGAGCUGCUAAAGAAUGACAAUGGUCUUGUACAUACCCAUGCCCACCCAUGGGUGGGUGCCUCCACAAGCCAGCAGCACGACCCCUGCUCUCAACCUCCUGUGGAGUAGCGGCCAGAGCACUUUAGAUCUGAACCUUAUGUCCCUCCCCCAUCCUGCAUGUGGACCUCCCUGCUCUGCAUGUAGAUCUCGGCACCUGCAACUUGUACUGUACAGCAACUAAAUAGUCAAAUAAAAGACAGACAUUGUUUAAGUCAC